UUAAUAGGUUCGAGGUGGAAGCAUGGUGACAUGUGGAGCUGACGAAUACUAAUCGAUCGAAGACUUAAUCAAAUU
rnacentral:rRNA from 3 species